rnacentral:rRNA from 1 species
GCCGCAAGGUAUGUUACUGGCCGCGCUGUUCUUCUUCGCCAAGACUACGUGUGCUCUUAGUUGAGUGUGGGUAGGAUUUGCGACGUUUACUUUGAAAAAAUUAGAGUGUUCAAAGCAGGCAUUUGCUUGGAUACAUAAGCAUGGAAUAAUGGAAUAGGACUUUGGUUCUAUUUUGUUGGUUUCUAGAACCGAAGUAAUGAUAAAUGGGCCGAUUUGGGGGCAUUCGUAUUUCGUUGUCAGAGGUGAAAUUCUUGGAUUUACGAAAGACGAACUAAUGCGAAAGCAUUUGCCAAGAAUGUUUUCAUUAAUCAAGAACGAAAGUUAGAGGAUCGAAGACGAUCAGAUACCGUCCUAGUUCUAACCAUAAACGAUGCCGACUAGGGAUCAGCGGGUGUUAUUGUAUGACCCCGUUGGCACC